rnacentral:rRNA from 1 species
UACGGGGGGGGCAAGCGUUGUUCGGAAUUACUGGGCGUAAAGGGCGCGUAGGCGGCCUGCUAAGUCGGACGUGAAAUCCCUCGGCUCAACCGAGGAACUGCGUCCGAUACUGGUGGGCUUGAAUCCGGGAGAGGGAUGUGGAAUUCCAGGUGUAGCGGUGAAAUGCGUAGAUAUCGGGAGGAACACCUGUGGCGAAAGCGGCUCACUGGACCACAACUGACGCUGAGGCGCGAAAGCUAGGGGAGCAAACAGG